GCGAGAGUGGCGGAACUGGCAGACGCGCGAGACUUAGGAUCUCGUGGGAAACCGUGGGGGUUCAAGUCCCUCCUCUCGCACCA
rnacentral:tRNA from 5 species